AAAAAAAUCAUAGCCCUAACCCUAUCCCAAACCCAAACACAAACCCUAGCGAGUUCUCCACCGCUCUUUCUCUCUGUGGCAGCCAUGUCGCACUUCGGACGAUCCGGUCCUCCGGACAUCAGAGAUACCUAUUCUUUACUCGUUCUCAACAUCACUUUCCGCACCACCGCAGAUGAUCUGUUCCCGCUUUUUGACAAGUACGGGAAAGUCGUUGAUGUAUUCAUCCCCAGAGAUCGAAGGACCGGUGACUCGAGGGGAUUUGCAUUUGUUCGUUAUAAGUAUGCGGAUGAGGCCCAGAAGGCGGUAGAAAAGCUUGACGGAAGGAACGUGGAUGGAAGAGAGAUUAUGGUUCAAUUUGCCAAGUAUGGUCCCAACGCAGAGCGAAUUCAUAAAGGGAGGAUAAUAGAAACAUCUUCAAAAUCAAAAGGCAGGUCAAGAAGCCGCAGUCCUCGGCCAAGGCAUCGGGAUGAAUACAGGGACAGGGAUUACAGGAAGAGAAGUCGCAGCAGAAGUAGAGGCAGAAGCGAUCGUGACAAGUACCGUGGGAAGGAAAGAGAUAGUCGCCGUCGGAGCAGAAGCCGCAGUGCAAGUCCUGAUCAUCACAAGGAUCGUGGGAGAGGCAGAUAUGAUGAUGAGCGGCGUAGUCGCAGCCGGUCAUAUGGAAGUGCCUCUCCUGCCCGGCGUAGCCCCAGUCCUCGAGGGAGCCCCUCUCCACGCAGAACACCACCUUCCAGGGAAGAAAGUCCUGUUGGACGCAAGAGAAACGAACGUUCACCUACUCCGAAAAGUGUCUCACCUCGUGGUCGACCUGCUGAUUCUCGAAGUCCAUCUCCACAUAAUUCUGACGCUGAUGAAUGAUGGAGUGGCAUAUGGAGAAAUCUUUGGUUUGAUGUACCGUGUGUAGCUGCAUUCAUAAUGGAGGACAUUUUGGAAUUUGCAUGUUAUCAUCAAAUUAUUGAAUGCUAGAUUUGAUCAUCCUGGACGUAUUUUGAAGUUUUGUUCGUGAAGAGUGAAUCUGGCUGAUUGGCAAGUUGUUGUAGCAGCUGUUGAUGCUGUUUUUACUUCACAGAUGGUUGAUGUCAUUCCAUCCUGGUUGCACAUACAUUAUCUUUAACAAUUUUUCUCUGGUGAUAUCAUGAUUGGAGGUUUAGUCGCUGUGAUGACCUAAAGAUGAUUGGAUUCCACGUGCCUUUACCUGUAGCUGGCAGUUAACUGCACCAGACAUUCCGUUAAGCUGUUACUAAAUUGAAACCUGCUAUGCUGUGCUGAACAUUGUUACCAUGAGGCUUGACAUGCACAUGAGGUCGUGGCUAUAGCUGUGAAGUGAUAGCUGAUAGCUUCGCAGAACAGUUGUUGCUGCAGUUCUUGCUGAUAGCAUUUGAAUUUGGUGCUACUGUGUUUGGUGUUGAUGAGUGAUCCCUGAUUUUGGUAGCUGUGUUGCAGCUGGAUCCAGUGGUCCUGCUUUGUUUCUUUGCCAUCCAGUUAUUUCUUGUGGAGGUUUUUUUCAUUAUAUUUUCGGUUUUCAUUUACUUUAGUUGCAUCAACUUUUCUUACUUGUGGUUCUGCUUUGUUUAUAUGGAGUCCUGUUUUUAGCGGAGCUUGAAUUAUAUCAUUUGUUUUGUGCUUUAAUUGCAUUGAAGUGGAUUUCCUUACAAUUUUUUAUUUGAGUGGGAUUUUCAGUUUUGGAACUAUUUUUUUUCCACUCGCCAAAAUGUUAAGAGAAAUGUGAUGGUUAUUUGACAAGGUUAGAAGUUUGGUUUUCUGUUUGGGUCUGGGGUCCAUGUUGUGGUAGCCUUGCCCAUAAGAGUUCCACUCAGAUUAAAACCCUUCAUCCCUUGGCUAUUUGUGACAGUGCCCUUAUGUAGUUUUUGAGCUCUGUUAAACUUUUUCUAGUUCUUCCUCUAAUAAAAAAGAGGUAAGGUGAUAUGAAAAAGCAAGUCACCAUCUCAAGUAUGUGGUGAUAUAAAAAAGCAAGUCUCCAUCUCAUGUAUAUGGCAGUGAAUUUUAUUUUUGUUUUUUUAUUUGCCUAUCAAAGAAAUUAUGUGGCACUGGAAGUAAAAUAUAUGAUCUGGUUGUCAAUCUGAGUUGGGUCGGUUUGUCCAUAGGUGUUAAAUGAGAAAAAAUAAUUGGUUUGUAUUGUAUACGUCUGGGUCUUGUUCUAUCUCAAACUCAGAUUAGGAAGAGUGCCCUUGAACUACAGAUCAAUCAUAAUAAACAAUAUAAGAAAAGGGAAUAAAAAGGCAAAAAAGGGGGAGAUAGGGUGGUCGUAGAUCACGGAUGGUAAUUUCCACUCCAUGGAUAAGGAACCUUGGAAUUCUCACCCUAGGGAUGAAAAAAUUUUAGGCAAAAAAUAAUAUUAUUGAAACUUCAUGGUUUUGUGUCAUGUCUACCAAAUAUAAGGUGCUUCAUGAUCUGCCAUUUUUAGUUUUUUACAUAAUGUUGUAUUAGUUUUUGGUGAUUGCCCCUCCUGAGCUAUGAAAAAACUUAGAAAUGGAACAAGAUUUAGGCUAAGAAUUAUUCUUUAUGUAGUGGUGUGGGAUCUGAACUGAAAUACUUCACUGUGAAUGGAAGGAGUUUUGAUGCCCAGUUGUAUUUAAAUAAAUAUAUGAAAAAGGUGUUUGGCUAACAUGUUUUGCUUUCUUUUUUGUAUUUCCAAUCAGUUAUAUUCAGUUUAGCAAGAUCUUGAGGGUAAAAAUUCAGAACGUAUCCAGUUCUCUAUUAAGAAGUUUUAGUGGGUAUUGGCAGGCAUUGGUUAUAAAAACUUAUAAUAGUCAUAUGGAAGAUGUUAAUUAUAUUUAAUGAGUUUUUGAAUAAUUUCAAGAAUAAAAUGUUGGGAUUUAACGUUGAAAGGGUUUUGCUUGACAAAAACCCAACGAAAACAAUAUCAAGAUUUUUGAUGUGUUGUGUGAAAAUACGACUUGCUGCUUGUAGUGGUCAUGUGCUGCCACUUAUUGAAGUGGGUGUUUUCUUUUACUCCAGGUCAAAAAUAUAAAUUAUCCUCCUGGUGUUUGGUAUUUUUUUUUAACAGUUCUGUAUUUGCAUCUACACGGUAUAGUGUUAAUCUAAUAUUAAGCGUAUUAAACGUAAUCUCCCAUUAGCAAACAAGUAGUUAAUAACUCUUAACUUGUGCAUCAUCACCUUUAACUAAAAGUUGUCAGUAAAAUAUGCUGUGGGCAACUGGAUCUACAGUGGCAUGUGCACAUACUUUUCUUGAGUUUUCUUAGCCAGUGCAAUGUAAUGCAUUUCUAUGCUAUGAUCAUACACCCUGUUAUUUUUGGAAAUUAGAUGCAUCUGCAUUUACUGAUAAUAUUUGGUUGGUCAUGUCAUGAUGUAAGUUUAGUUUGAAAUAAUAGGAGUGUUUAUGAUAAGAGUUAUUUUUGGGCUGUUUUUAUUACCUUUUCUGCUUCACUUGAAAGAGCAAAUUGGGAGCUUCUGGGCGUGUUUAUGAAUUGGAUUUACACAUAGUGUAACCAUAGAUUGAUUAUCUGAUCCUGGUAAUCAGAGGAUCUUUUGAUAGCUUCAAAACCUCUUCUAGACACUCCUCUGUGAAAAUAGGAGGCAACAACCUCUGCAGAUUGGAUUUCCUAAAAAAAUUAUGCACGUGUGAGGAGGUGCAUCUUCAGAAAAUAAGGUACUCAGUAGCUAUCUGUGCUGCUCCUCUUAUCGACUUGGAGGGCAAUCUAAUAAUAAACAACUCAUGGAAGUUGAUUUUGUGAAAACUUGAGGAAGUGGUGAAUUAAAGCACUUGUUAGAUCACAGUGAAAUGUGCUUAACUAGGGUGGAAACACUGAUAUUCAAACAAAGAAUGGUAAGAUAAUAUUGUGUAAUUUCAUUUUUCCCUGGCUUGCAUGUAAUAGAUGUAUCCGAAUGUGCAGUUGAUGCUCAAACUAGUGAAGCAACGGUAGUGCUUUGAGGGAGCGCUUGUUGUGAUUUAAAUUUGUUUACUCUAAUGCUCAUGUUAUUAAAGGAGAAAUCGAGAUGUGGUUUUA